AUUGAACGCUGGCGGCAGGCCUAACACAUGCAAGUCGAGCGGAUGAAGGGAGCUUGCUCCUGGAUUCAGCGGCGGACGGGUGAGUAAUGCCUAGGAAUCUGCCUGGUAGUGGGGGAUAACGUCCGGAAACGGGCGCUAAUAACGCAUACGUCCUGAGGGAGAAAGUGGGGGAUCUUCGGACCUCACGCUAUCAGAUGAGCCUAGGUCGGAUUAGCUAGUUGGUGGGGUAAAGGCCUACCAAGGCGACGAUCCGUAACUGGUCUGAGAGGAUGAUCAGUCACACUGGAACUGAGACACGGUCCAGACUCCUACGGGAGGCAGCAGUGGGGAAUAUUGGACAAUGGGCGAAAGCCUGAUACAGCCGUGCCGCGUGUGUGAAGAAGGUCUUCGGAUUGGAAAGCACUUUAAGUUGGGAGGAAGGGCAGUAAGUUAAUACCUUGCUGUUUUGACGUUACCAACAGAAUAAGCACCGGCUAACUUCGUG
rnacentral:rRNA from 1 species